UUUCUGUGAGCGCGCUAAGGUAAGAGGAAUCGAAAUUUUAAUUUUAUAACAAGUAUCCGAUUCCUGACCUCAAGUAUUCGGUUCCCAACCCUAACUAGUACUAACUAAAGACUUAUUUUUUAAUGAAUGUUACCUUCGCCUGAGGCAGGGGAGUUGGAGCUGGGAGACGACGGAAACAUAGUAAAAACAGCGCAUUGGUUGAGAACCUCUCCAAGAUAUCUGGCAAAGCACCAUAUGCCGAAGGCUAAACGACACACAGUUCCACUCAUCCUUCGUUCUCCUCUUCUUACACACAGCAGAAGCAGUAUUUAUCACUGACUGCAGUGGUGUGAAUGUAUGAGACAGCUUAAGACUCAAUCUCACUGUCUCUUGACCAGGGCUUGGCGCUGUGUCAUAUCGAUGGAUACGAGAGCUCGCAUAAAUGUAGAUCUGAACAUGCCAAUCUUAGUGUGAAGGUCAAAUCUUUAUUAGUAGCUCAACCUACACGGUCUUCAUUGGCCUUGAUAUGUUAAAAUAAAAUCUGGAUGUUGAUGUGUGAUCACUGACAACUGUAAUUUAAUGUGGCAGAUCAGCACAAACAAGACUCUGAUCUUUGCCCUAUCAAACUUGUUUUUCUCUGUGUGAAAUAAAAGAGAAGCUUUCUGUGA